GAUAGUAUAGGUCUUGGGUGUGUGUUAUAGUAUACUAUACUUGAUAAUAUAACACACACCCAAGACCUAUAUCAGGACUGAA
rnacentral:miRNA from 1 species